rnacentral:rRNA from 1 species
UACAGAGGGUGCGAGCGUUGUUCGGAAUUAUUGGGCGUAAAGCGCACGUAGGCGGAUCUUUAAGUCAGGGGUGAAAUCCUGGAGCUCAACUCCAGAACUGCCUUUGAUACUGGGGAUCUCGAGUCCGGGAGAGGUGAGUGGAACUGCGAGUGUAGAGGUGAAAUUCGUAGAUAUUCGCAAGAACACCAGUGGCGAAGGCGGCUCACUGGCCCGGUACUGACGCUGAGGUGCGAAAGCGUGGGGAGCAAACAGG